GAUGAAGAACGUAGCGAAAUGCGAUAAGUAAUGUGAAUUGCAGAAUUCAGUGAAUCAUCGAAUCUUUGAACGCACCUUGCACCCUUUGGUAUUCCGAAGGGUAUGCUCGUUUGAGUGUCAUUGUACUCUCACACUUCUAAUUCCUUUCGGGAUUGGGAGCGGUGGACUUGGGUGUUGCUGCUUUAGUUGUGGCUCACCUCAAAUAAGUUAGUGCAACUCUUGGUUGGACAUAGUACGGCGUGAUAAGUGUCUUCUCCGGCGCCUCUGUAAGGAGGGUGGCCGAUCGGGAGCUCUGUGCUUCAAACCGUCUUCGGACAAUCUUUGACAACUUGACCUCAAAUCGAGUAGGACUACCCGCUGAACUUAAGCAUAUCAAUAAGCGGAGGA
rnacentral:misc_RNA from 1 species